GGCUAGCUCAGUCGGUAGAGCAUGAGACUC
rnacentral:piRNA from 10 species